rnacentral:lncRNA from 1 species
GAAGCUGUGAGCACGGUGAAGGGCAGGCUCCGUGCUCAGACAGGCUCCCUGGCUUCCCACCAACCUCAACUUAGCACUAAAGCUGGCUGCGAGGCAUCACUUUAAGGAGAGUUUUACACACUUAGAAGAGUGGACACGUCUGGGACAGCUUGUGUGAAAGAGAAGGAACAGGAAAGCGUGACAUCCAGAAGACAUACCAGACCUCCGUCAGCAGCUCCACAUCAUGUCUGCUCACCUCUGCCUUCAUGCUGGCAGCUGAAGCGGUUUCCACUGGGAGGCUUUGGUUUUCCUGAGAGACUUCAGCUCCCAGUUUGUCAGCAACAUGAACUGGGACAGAAAAGAAAUAUAAUCCUUCAGAGUGGGGAGAUCCUGAAGCGGAGCAGCACCAAACAUCUGGAGUCUCAAGUUCAUCUUUAAUGAGAAGCCAGGAAUCUUGUUCCCAGUCAGUCACGGGACUUCCC